ensembl:lncRNA
UCAAACACGAUACAAUAGUUUAAAUAGUAUUUCUCAAUUUAAUUGUGACACAAAUACAUACGAAUCGUUCAGUUCAUUUUCAGAAAAUGCAAAUUAUGAAUACGAAGCAAACAAAAAAAAAAACACAUCCUGUGAUCAUUUAUAUAACGAAUUGAAUGUAGAAAAUAGAAAAAUUUAUGACCUAUCAUAUAUAAAUAAUAAUAAAACAGGAAGUAUAUAUGAAUAUAACGAACUUGAUGGUGAUACACAAAAUAAUGUUUUUUUUGAAAACGAUUCUGUUGAGAAGAAUGAAGAUAAUAUGUGUCAUAACAAUAAUGACAUAAAUGAAUGUACUAUUAAUAACAACACGAACCAAUCUGAGCAAUUUUUACAUGAUUAUGGUCAGGAAAGUCACGACAUUAAAAAUGUAAUACCAGGUUCAGUAAUAGUAGAAGAAGUAGUAGUACCAAAAACAGUAGUACCAAAAACAACAGUACCAAUAGAGAAACACACCAAUAAUUACACUCUAAGACAAAAAAAAAACGAAGAAAAAAAAGCAAAAAAAGCAAGAAAAGCGGAAAGAAUGAUUGCUGCUGAAUUGAAAGAAAAAAUAAGAGAGGAGAAAAGGGCAGCAAGAGAAUAUAGAAGAUUGGAAAAAUUAAAUAAAAAAAAAAAAAAAAAAAAAAUCGAAGGAAGGAUUUAUAAAGUCGUAGUAAGAGGUAAAGAAUGUUGGAGAGCAGAAUGGCUAGUUAAACAAACAGAAAAUAUAAAUUUAAAUGAAUAUAAUAAUAAAAAUGACAAAUUGGAAAAAACAAAUGAAAAUACAAAACCUAUAAUGUUAAAAAAGAGUAAACAGUUUUCAGUUUCAGUAUAUGGACAUGAAAAUGCUAGACUAUUUUCAAUUUUUGAAUUAAUAAAAUAUAAUGCUGUACCUGACCGUUUGAAAAAUGAAGCUAAUGUAUGUAUACAAAAAAUAAAAAAAAAUAUUAUAAGUUCAGGAAAUCAUACUAAUAAAUCUUUUAGUAACAAUUUUCUUCAAUUUAUAUUGGCUGGUGAAAAUAGCGAACACUAUUUAAGAAAUGGCAGUGACAUGGGAUCAUAUCUGAUUGAAAAAUUAAACGAUGACUACUCUUGCAAUACUGAUGAUUCUUGUAAUAAUGGUAGCUCUUGUAAUAACGAUAGCUCCUAUAAUAACAAAUUUUGUUACAAUGACGGUUUUUAUCAUAACAACGAAUUUUGUCGUAACAAUGAUACUACAUUGCAUAAAGAAAAUGACCCUACCAACGUGUCACUUGUAUAUACCAUGCCAGAUAAUAAUAUGAACAAAAAUAUACAAAAUAAAAACAUUCCUAUGAGUCUAUCUAAAAAUAGUAUUAAUUUUCAUAGCAAUAACUACUUCGAUAAUAAUAAUAAUAAUUUUGGUAAUUAUUGUAAUAAAGGAAUGUAUGAUAGAAAUAUGUAUAUCCGUCAAAUGAUGGAUCAUCGUAUGACCAAUCGUGAAAUGUACAUGCAAAGUAAUUUGUACAAUAACGAAAACAGUAAUAAUAACAUUAAUUAUAUGAUAUACAAUAAUAAAAAAAUUAAUAAUAACGAUAAAAAUUAUUUAUACACUAAAUUAUAUCAUAACAGGUAUAAUACUUUACAAUAUAAUGAUACUAUUAACAGUUGUACCAAAAACAACACUUGUAAUGGUACAGAAAAUAAUAUUUGUAACAGCACAGACAAUGCUAAUAGUCUUAUUGAGAAUAUUAAUAACUUACCUUAUAAUAAUAUUAAUAAUAAUUUUUUUCAAUCACCCAUGUUAGUUAAUACGUUAAUGAACAAUAAUAAUCAUACACUUGCAAAUUUUAUGAAUAAUAAUAAUAUGAACAGUAGUAAUAAUAAUAUGAACAGUAGUAAUACUAAUAUGAACAGUCAUAAUAAUAAUAUGAAUAACAAUGUGAAUAGCAAUAUGAAUAGUAGUAAUAAUAAUAACUUUUUAAUGCACAAACAAAAUGAAAAGUAUGUAGAAAAAUGUAAACAAAAAAUCACGACUGAUUUGCUUACUAACGAGUUAAUGAAUACAAAUUAUUUAUCUUAUAAUAAUAACCCUUGCUUUAACGUAGUUCAAAAUAAUAAUGCUCUCAAGUUGAAUUAUGAAA